rnacentral:rRNA from 1 species
AGUGAACGCUGGCGGUAGGCCUAACACAUGCAAGUCGAACGGCAGCACAGUAAGGGCUUGCUCUUACGGGUGGCGAGUGGCGGACGGGUGAGGAAUACAUCGGAAUCUACUUUUUCGUGGGGGAUAACGUAGGGAAACUUACGCUAAUACCGCAUACGACCUACGGGUGAAAGCAGGGGAUCUUCGGACCUUGCGCGAUUGAAUGAGCCGAUGUCGGAUUAGCUAGUUGGCGGGGUAAAGGCCCACCAAGGCGACGAUCCGUAGCUGGUCUGAGAGGAUGAUCAGCCACACUGGAACUGAGACACGGUCCAGACUCCUACGGGAGGCAGCAGUGGGGAAUAUUGGACAAUGGGCGCAAGCCUGAUCCAGCCAUACCGCGUGGGUGAAGAAGGCCUUCGGGUUGUAAAGCCCUUUUGUUGGGAAAGAAAAGCAGCAGGUUAAUACCCCGCUGUUCUGACGGUACCCAAAGAAUAAGCACCGGCUAACCUCGUG